GGCAUUUCAGAACUGCUGUAUUGGUGAGAGGGAUACGCCACUUUCCAUUCUCGAGAAGGAAGGUAGGACAUAAAUGUAAUUUAGCACAGGAAACUUGGUUUUUAUUUCUUCUAACCUUGAAAAACCCCUCAAGGUAUAAAUAAAACCAGUAGCUUAAAAUAUUCAUUAUUUUUUAAAAUUAUGAAUUUAAAUGCAGGUCAACUUUACAUAUCUGGGUCAGCCUGCUGAAACAGAUUUUUUUUGGCAGGUGCCCCAAACAGUACAGCAAAGGCACUUGCUUGAUGUCAAGGUGCAACUUGUGGGGGGUGUUCAUCAUAGGAGAAAACAUGCCAAUGUAAGCCACGUUUUAGCAAAGACAAAAAGAUCUUUAUAAAAAACAUUAUCAGAGGAGAGGCUAUUUGGACAAUGGUGUGCUAAAGGAAGAAAAGGAGACUGCAGAGCUGAAUGAAUUCCUUGCAUCUGGUUGGGGUGGAAGCUUGCAGGAUCUUGGAGCUCACUUUCACAGGAAGGGAGCCUGAGGAUUUGAGGCAAACAGCAGUGACAAGAGAUGAAAAUUCUAGUCCCUAUGGGGAAAGGCUAAUCUGAGGCCUAUACCAUCUGGUAUCCUAUUGGCUUGGCAGUCACCCACUUGGCUUUAAACUGUCUUAACCCAUUUCCUGUGUUCCCUAGGCAACCCUCCCCCCAUAUUUUAAUGUGAACAUUUGUUUCAGGCAGUGAUCAAUAUCACAAUGACUUAUCUUUAGGGCAAUUAGCAUAUGUAAAUGAAAACUACCAACCACCAGGAUAGCUGACAAUUAAUUUAGAGCCUGUACAGAACACUUCUAUUUCAGAGCUGCCUGGGCUUCAGCCUUGAGGAAUCCCAGUUGACAAGGACAAAGCCUUGGUUGCACAACCUCCCUAUCAUCCAACUGCUUCUUUGGCUUUCCAUAAAUCAACCCUGGGAGAAGAAUCCUUGCUUCCAAAAGCUGGAUCAUAGAAUUGUAGAGUUGAAAGGGACCCAGGGGUCAUGCCGCAAUGCACCCAUGGCAGAUAGCCACCCAACCUCUGCUUAAAAGUCCGCAACCUCUCGUGGAAGGCUGUUCCACUGCUGAACAGCUCUUACUAUCAGAAAGUUUUUCUGAAUGUUUAGUUGGAAUAUCCUUUCUUGUAACUUGAAUCCAUUGGUUCAAGUCCCAUCCCCUGGACACUAGACUUCUGUUGAUGCAGCCCAGAAGAGCAUUAGCUUUUUUGGCUGCUGCAUCACCCUGUUGACUCAUGUUAAGCUUGUGGUGCACUAAGACCCCUAGAUCCUUUUCACAUGUACUGCUAGUAAGCCAGGUGUCCUCCAUCCUUUAUUUGUGCAUCUGGUUCUUCCUGAAGAACCUAACAUUUGAGCUAAUUUCCUGCAAGACAUUGCAAAAAUCUCAUGAGAUGCCACAUAAAUCUUCUGAGUUCACCAAGAUCUUGCCAGAAAUCAGGGCUGAUGCCAGUGCUGCUUCUCUGCCAGUGCCAGAGGUGCCAGGGGCCCCACAGGGCACCACCUUAGGGACUUCUGCCUCAUGGCCCUCGCAAGUGGAUCACAGGUCUAAAUUGUAAAAGUGCCAUUCAAGAGUGCCAUACAGCAAAUAUGCCACAGCCUCACAAGUUUUUGGAUGGCAUUACCUGAAAGCAGGUCAGGAAUGUUGUGUGAGAGUGAAGCAGGAAUGGAGACCUGUCUCUAGACCACAAGCCAAGCCUGUUGACGUCCUGCUCCUAUCCAGGUAUGGCACAAACUCAAACUGCCAAGGCACUCACCUACCCACCAAACGGUCACCUAUUAAUCAAGAAAGAACACUGACACCCCUAGAUACUAUCACUAGUCCCUGGUUUUUUUAGUGGAAGCUCUCUUUAUACUGCCCUACAAUUCUGUCUUCCCCCAACAUUUAGCUUAAAAGGCCAAAGUUGUACUGUGCCAGUUUCUGUGAGGGGCUGAGAUGCAAAUGAGGUACAGGAGUCUAUUAUUUUUAACAUAUUUAAGUAUUGUCAGACAAUGUUCUUCAUCCAGCAUAAUGGAGUAGCCAGUACUUACUUCUAAGCUAGAUGAAAAACAAAUCUCUACAUAGAAAUUGCGGGCAAAUCCUAAAAUGAGUUAAGGUGUAAAAAGGUUCACAUGAAAUUACUAUCGGUAUUUGGAUUUCAAAGAUAACCCUAAUAGUUGAAAAUGUAAUCUACAUUAAAAAGUAACUUAUUCUCAGUUGUAGCUGAAAAGGCCAUAAUCAAGUUCUCUGUUUAACAUAUUAUUUGCAUGUACAGAAUGACAUUUUUGAGUGUCCCAAGUGCUUUGCAUAUUACUUCAGUAACUCCUUGGAGACACCACGAUAAAAUCUGAGGGCUCUGGGGGAGUCGGAAGGGACAUUUUAAAUGUGAACUCGCUCCUGCUCUUCUUGUCCUUGUUCUUUGCAACAUAAUACUUCCUUUACCACUAGAAGCAAUCUCUAAGAGAAAUUGCUUCCAUCUUCUUCUCUACAGGUCCAGCACCCCCAACAGGCAUACUAUAAAAUGAAAACCUGCUUCCAUAGCCUGUGCUCACAUUGCCACCUUGUGGAACCUGCUCCCACAGAAGCCUUCCUUUUCCUAUUAUGCCACUCCAGCUGCAACAAACUCUCUUCAUUCCUUUUCUACACAAACAUCACUGCAAGACUGCACCAUACAUGCACUCUUAGGGGAAAACUCUUUGCCACAUAGGAUAUUUUCAGCUUCCUCAACAGGUGCCUUAUUAUACUACAUUUAUUUUUAUUUCUAAGCCCAGGUAAAAAAUGAAGGGCUAUUCCAAAAAUGCCUCUUGAUCCUCUUCAUCAAGUUGCCUCAUCAGGACAGAUUUUUCUUGCAUUGAGACAGAUACUGAUCUCUGUUGCCAGGUACUGUCUCCUUCUAUCAGCAGUAGCUCUCCCGGUCCUCAGGAAAAACUAUCCUACUGCUGCCUAAGAUCCUUUUAUGUGGAGUCGAUGGAGAUUUAAUGCUAUGACCCUAACCCUACUUACCUGGGAGUAAGCACCAUUGAAUUGAUUAGUAC